UACGUAGGGUGCGAGCGUUGUCCGGAAUUACUGGGCGUAAAGCGCGCGUAGGCGGACCUGCAAGUCGGGGGUGAAAGCCCGAGGCUCAACCUCGGAACUGCCUUCGAUACUGCGGGUCUCGAGUCCGGGAGAGGUGAGUGGAAUUCCUAGUGUAGAGGUGAAAUUCGUAGAUAUUAGGAAGAACACCAGUGGCGAAGGCGGCUCACUGGCCCGGUACUGACGCUGAGGCGCGAAAGCUAGGGGAGCAAACAGG
rnacentral:rRNA from 1 species